rnacentral:rRNA from 1 species
ACGGAGGGUGCAAGCGUUAUCCGGAUUUACUGGGUGUAAAGGGAGCGUAGGCGGAAUGAUAAGUCUGUGGUGAAAACCUACGGCUCAACCGUAGGACUGCCUUGGAUACUGUUAUUCUGGAGUGCAGUUGAGGUAGGCGGAAUUCCUCGUGUAGCGGUGAAAUGCGUAGAUAUGAGGAGGAACACCGAUGGCGAAGGCAGCUUACUAAACGGUAACUGACGUUGAUGCACGAAAGCGUGGGGAUCAAACAG